rnacentral:rRNA from 1 species
GUGGGGAAUAUUGGACAAUGGGCGCAAGCCUGAUCCAGCCAUGCCGCGUGAGUGAUGAAGGCCCUAGGGUUGUAAAGCUCUUUCACCGAUGAAGAUAAUGACGGUAGUCGGAGAAGAAGCCCCGGCUAACUUCGUGCCAGCAGCCGCGGUAAUACGAAGGGGGCUAGCGUUGUUCGGAAUUACUGGGCGUAAAGCGCACGUAGGCGGAUAUUUAAGUCAGGGGUGAAAUCCUAGAGCUCAACUCUGGAACUGCCUUUGAUACUGGGUAUCUCGAGUAUGGAAGAGGUGAGUGGAAUUCCGAGUGUAGAGGUGAAAUUCGUAGAUAUUCGGAAGAACACCAGUGGCGAAGGCGGCUCACUGGACGACUGUUGACGCUGAGAUGCGAAAGCGUGGGGAGCAAACAGGAUUAGAUACCCGGGUAGUCC